rnacentral:rRNA from 1 species
UACAGAGGGGCAAGCGUUAUUCGGAAUUAUUGGGCGUAAAGGGUGCGUAGAUGGUAUGGUAAGUUAUCAGUGGGAAAUCGAGGCCCAACCUCGUGGAAGCUGGUAAUACUGCCACACUAGAGUACAGAAGAGGUUAACGGAAUUCCAUGUGGAGCGGUAAAAUGCGACGAUAUAUGGAGGAACACCGGUGGCGAAGGCGGCAUCCUGGACCAAUACUGACGCUGAGGAGCGAAAGCCAGGGGAGCAAACGGG